rnacentral:rRNA from 1 species
UGCAGUCGAACGGUAACAGGCCUAUGUGAUCCCUUCGGGGUGAACUUGGUGCUGACGAGUGGCGGACGGGUGAGUAAUGCAUAGGAAUCUGCCCUUUAGCGGGGGAUAACUCGGGGAAACUCGGGCUAAUACCGCAUACGCCCUACGGGGGAAAGCGGGGGCCUUCGGGCCUCGCACUAUUGGAUGAGCCUAUGUCUGAUUAGUUUGUUGGUGGGGUAAUGGCCUACCAAGGCGACGAUCAGUAGCUGGUCUGAGAGGACGAUCAGCCACACUGGGAUUGAGAUACGGCCCAGACUCCUACGGGAGGCAGCAGUGGGGAAUAUUGGACAAUGGGCGCAAGCCUGAUCCAGCAAUGCCGCGUGUGUGAAGAAGGCCCGAGGGUUGUAAAGCACUUUCAACAGUAAAGAAAAGUUCGGUGCUAAUACCACCGAACCCUGACGUUAGCUGUAGAAGAAGCACUGGCUAACUCCGUGCCAGCAGCCGCGGUAAUACGGAGGGUGCGAGCGUUAAUCGGAAUUACUGGGCGUAAAGCGUGCGUAGGUGGCUUGGUAAGUCGGAUGUGAAAGCCCCGAGCUCAACUUGGGAAUUGCAUUCGAUACUGCUAGGCUAGAGUAUGGUAGAGGGAAGUGGAAUUUCCGGUGUAGCGGUGAAAUGCGUAGAGAUCGGAAGGAACACUAGUGGCGAAGGCGGCUUCCUGGACCAAUACUGACACUGAGGUACGAAAGCGUG